rnacentral:rRNA from 1 species
UACAGAGGUCUCAAGCGUUGUUCGGAUUCAUUGGGCGUAAAGGGUGCGUAGGUGGCGCGCUAAGUCAGGUGUGAAAUUUCGGAGCUUAACUCCGAAACUGCAUUUGAUACUGGCGGUCUCGGAGUCCGGGAGAGGUGAGUGGAACUGCGAGUGUAGAGGUGAAAUUCGUAGAGUAUCGGGAGGAACACCAGUGGCGAAGGCGGCGAUGCUGGGAAGAUACUGACGUGAGGUGCGAAAGGCGUGGGGAGUCAAAC